GGAGGGUGCAAGCGUUGUUCGGAAUUACUGGGCGUAAAGAGCGUGUAGGCGGUUUGGCAAGUCAGAUGUGAAAGCCCUGGGGCUCAACCCAGGAAGUGCAUUUGAAACUGCCAUUCUAGAGUAUGGGAGAGGAGAGUGGAAUUCCCGGUGUAGAGGUGAAAUUCGUAGAUAUUGGGAGGAACACCCGUGGCGAAGGCGACUCUCUGGACCAAUACUGACGCUGAGACGCGAAAGCGUGGGGAGCAAACAGGAUUAGAUACCCUGGUAGUCCACGCCGUAAACGAUGAGAACUAGGUGUAGCGGGUAUUGACCCCUGCUGUGCCGUAGCUAACGCAUUAAGUUCUCCGCCUGGGGAGUACGGUCGCAAGGCUA
rnacentral:rRNA from 1 species